AAAAGAAUAGUUGCUGUAUUAUUUUAAUAAAUUAUAAAAGCUAAUAAAUCUGUAAGCUCACUAUGCACUCAUCCUAAAGGUCUUCAGAUAGCCAAAUAGCUUAGCUUAUAAUGGUAUACAUUGUAAAAUAUGUAAAUUGAAAAAAAUAUUGUUUGAUAAAUAGCGUUACAGAUCUCUAGUUGACAAAGUCUGUGAUAUUUUAAUAUGUAUAGUUCUGUGAUAUUGUAAAUAUAUAUAUUCUGUGAUAUUUUAAUAUGUACUGUUCUGUGAUAUUUUAAUAUGUAUAGUUCUGUGAUAUUUUAAUAUGUAUAGUUCUGUGAUAUUUUAAUAUGUACUGUUCUGUGAUAUUUUAAUAUGUACUGUUCUGUGAUAUUUUAAUAUGCAUUGUUCUGUGAUAUUUUAAUAUGUAUUGUUCUGUGAUAUUUUGUUACUUAUUG
rnacentral:lncRNA from 1 species